AACGAACGCUGGCGGCAUGCCUAACACAUGCAAGUCGAACGAGACCUUCGGGUCUAGUGGCGCACGGGUGCGUAACGCGUGGGAAUCUGCCCUUCGGUUGGGAAUAACACAGAGAGAAAUUUCAGCUAAUACCUUAUAAUGUCUUCGGACCAAAGAUUUAUCGCCGAGGGAUGAGCCCGCGUAGGAUUAGGUAGUUGGUGGGGUAAUGGCCUACCAAGCCGACGAUCCUUAGCUGGUCUGAGAGGAUGAUCAGCCACACUGGGACUGAGACACGGCCCAGACUCCUACGGGAGGCAGCAGUGGGGAAUAUUGGACAAUGGGCGAAAGCCUGAUCCAGCAAUGCCGCGUGAGUGAUGAAGGCCUUAGGGUUGUAAAGCUCUUUUACCCGGGAUGAUAAUGACAGUACCGGGAGAAUAAGCUCCGGCUAACUCCGUGCCAGCCGCCGCCGUAA
rnacentral:rRNA from 1 species